AUCCUUUUGGAGUUCGUAAGUGUGCUGAUUGGGUGUUCACGUGCACGUGUCAGAUAUGCCAUCCUCGAAUUUUGUUAUGAUGUGAGCACAUUACUCAUCUGAUA